rnacentral:rRNA from 1 species
UGGGGAAUAUUGGACAAUGGGCGAAAGCCUGAUCCAGCAAUGCCGCGUGAGUGAUGAAGGCCUUAGGGUUGUAAAGCUCUUUUACCAGGGAUGAUAAUGACAGUACCUGGAGAAUAAGCUCCGGCUAACUCCGUGCCAGCAGCCGCGGUAAUACGGAGGGAGCUAGCGUUGUUCGGAAUUACUGGGCGUAAAGCGUACGUAGGCGGUGACUCAAGUCAGAGGUGAAAGCCUGGAGCUCAACUCCAGAACUGCCUUUGAAACUAGGUCGCUAGAAUCACGGAGAGGUGAGUGGAAUUCCGAGUGUAGAGGUGAAAUUCGUAGAUAUUCGGAAGAACACCAGUGGCGAAGGCGGCUCACUGGACGUGUAUUGACGCUGAGGUACGAAAGCGUGGGGAGCAAACAGGAUUAGAUACCCGAGUAGUCCCUGAGCGGGCUGGCAAGGCGCAU